AGUUUGUCUGCUGUAUUCAAUCAAAACGAAGAAUUUGUGAAAGAUGAAAACCGUUGGAUUUCUUUCGGUUCUGCUUGUCUUGAAUGCGAUGAUUGCAACUUUUUCAAUGGUGGAAGCUCUAUGUUUGUCUUGAAGAGGGGGAGAUUAUGACUGCAGGGUUAGUGGAACAUGCGAAAAUGGUAAAUGUGUAUGCGGCUCUGGUCGAAGUGAUUUCUCACGCGACUACAAAAAAUGAUCAGAAAAUAAGAA